rnacentral:rRNA from 1 species
GACGAACGCUGGCGGCGUGCUUAACACAUGCAAGUCGAACGGAAAGGCCCUGCUUUUGUGGGGUGCUCGAGUGGCGAACGGGUGAGUAACACGUGAGUAACCUGCCCUUGACUUUGGGAUAACUUCAGGAAACUGGGGCUAAUACCGGAUAGGAGCUCCUGCUGCAUGGUGGGGGUUGGAAAGUUUCGGCGGUUGGGGAUGGACUCGCGGCUUAUCAGCUUGUUGGUGGGGUAGUGGCUUACCAAGGCUUUGACGGGUAGCCGGCCUGAGAGGGUGACCGGCCACAUUGGGACUGAGAUACGGCCCAGACUCCUACGGGAGGCAGCAGUGGGGAAGAUUGCACAAUGGGCGGAAGCCUGAUGCAGCAACGCCGCGUGCGGGAUGACGGCCUUCGGGUUGAAAACCGCUUUCGCCUGUGACGAAGCGUGAGUGACGGUAAUGGGUAAAGAAGCGCCGGCUAACUACGUGC